rnacentral:rRNA from 1 species
UACGGAGGAUGCGAGCGUUAUCCGGAUUUAUUGGGUUUAAAGGGUGCGCAGGCGGGAGAUUAAGUCGGCGGUGAAAUUUUGCAGCUCAACUGUAAAAGUGCCUUCGAAACUGGUUUCCUUGAGUGUAGAUGAAGUAGGCGGAAUUUGUGGUGUAGCGGUGAAAUGCAUAGAUAUCACGAGGAACUCCGAUUGCGCAGGCAGCUUACUAAACCAUAACUGACGCUCAGGCACGAAGGCGUGGGGAUCAAACAGGAUUAGAUACCCGGGUAGU